UUCACUCGUUCACUUUUUUAGAUCAACCCAGGAGGGUCCAGCGGAUGCCCCAUUGAGCCCGCAAGGUCCUCUUCCUCCUCCCUGGCCCCCCGGGAGGCGGGGGUGCGGCAAGUAUCGGAUCUGGGGACCAGUCAGCGCAUCCACGCGGCGGGGAGACGCUGCGAGAAAGUUCUCCCAUGAAACAGGAGGGAGACACGGCGGCAGGUCCCUUGAGAACCUGGACACGCAAGAUAAACCGGCGACGCGGCAAACGGCCCGGAGAGGAGAGUUGCAGGCACAGAGGCGGGGAGAGGCGAGCAGCAGACCCCGGCGCCUCCCCCACCAUUAACUCCAGCGCGCCCCGCCCCGCAGAAGGGGGGGAAACCAGAACCGCCGCGGGACCCGCAGGACGCGAGCAGAAGGGAGGCGCUUCAGCGGCCACACCUGCGGCCAGGGGCGCUGUGGGGACCCGCCACGGCCGUGAGCCAAGGGCGCUGGGUCAUAACAGACUCGGCGCCCCCAGAGCAAGGCGGGGACCCCGCGGAGACCCGCCAACAGCCAAGGGCAGCCGGGAGCGCGGGGAGCACCGGCGGGUGCGGCUGCCCAGGUCCCCGCCCGCGCCCUGGGGCUGUGGGGAGACGCGGAGCCGGCGCUGGGGGCCCUGAGGCAUCAGGAGAGCGGGGGAGAGACAUCCCAUGCUGGGCGGAUGAGAAGGGGGUGACUCAGCUUCUCUCUGAGAGUAAAGCCAACCUCAGAGAGGAAAUGUUCGGAGGCUUUGCAAGUAGCUGAGUGACUGAAACUGUUCCCGGUUUUGCUGCUGUCACAGCCUGGCAGGGAAGGCGAGACCUGGACCCGGGCGCCUCUCUAAGCUUUGAUUGUGGCCAUUCAUCAGGUCUUUCGGCCGCUGCAGCAGCUGUUUUGAGUGUCACUUGUCUGGUGCUGUGCUGGGGCAUCUCGGCAGCUCCGUUGAGCAUCUCCUGUUGUGUCUUCUGCUGUCUUCGUGAGUUGGAUCCCGGCCUAUAGUCUGGCAGCCACGUGCUCCAGGCCCUCAGUGGCAGGAAGACGCUAAUUGGGAACAUUUGUGUUUAGGACUUUACAACACUGGACACUGCUUCAUGUGAGGCUCUAACAGCAGCAAAGAUGGGAACAGGUGAAGAAGCUGUGAUUGCUUCUCAACCUUGGACAUGUGCCAGAGACUUGGGGGGACAUGGAAGGAGACACUGGAAACAGACAUGGGUGUAGUCCCCAUAGAAGUUCCUCCACCAGUGCAACCAUGCACCAUCCCCACAGCUCCCUGUGCGCCUCUCUCCCUUAGGCUCCCCUGAAGGAUGUCUCUGGUUUAUAAUUGUGUUUUGUUUUGUUUUUUGUUUUGCUUUGUUAUGUUUUGUACUGUUAUUAUUUUUCCCCUACGUCUUAUUUGUUUCCCCUAUAUUCCUCCUAUAUGUGAAGCCAUCUGUUCUUUUUCUUUUCCUUCUGACUUAUUCACUGAGCAUAAUUCCUUCUAGCUCCUUCCACGUUGCUGCAAAUCGGAUGAGUUUGUCUUUUUUCAUCACUUAGUAAUAUUCUAUUGUCUAAAUAUACCAAAACCUUUUGACUCAUUUGUUGAUUUGGGGGUAUUGGGUUUGUUUCCAUAUCUUGGCUACUGUAAAUAUUGCUGAAAUAAACAUAGCAGUACAGUUUUCCUUUUGAAUUAGUGUUUUUAUGUCCUUUGGGUAGAUUCCUAGGAAUGGAAUUGCUGGAUCAUUAGGUAGAUCCAUUUGUAGUAAUUUGAGGGUCCUCCACACAGCUCUGAAUAAUGGUUGGGCCAGUUUGCAUUCCCACCAGCCAUGCAGGAGAGUUCUUUUUCUCCACAUCCUCUCCAACAUUUGUUGUUUCUGUUUUUUUCAUUUUUAAUGUGGGCAUUCUCAUGGGACUGAAGUGUACCCCAUCUUCUUGAUCCAUUCAAGAUCCCCUGAUUUAAAAUACAAUGAGAAAAUACUUCACACCUGUGAGAAUGGCCCAUAUCAAAAAAAAAACAGACCUAACAAGAGCUGGUAGGACAUGGAGAUAAGGGACGGUCCUGCACUGAUUUGGGGAAUAUAGACUGGUUCAUCCCUGUUGGAAAACAAUGUCCAGUUUUCUUAGAAAAUUAACUGAGCAUCUGCCGUAGGACCCAGCAGUCCCAUUCCAAGGUAUCUACCCUGCCUCAGACGCCCAUGAGAAGUUCUCAGCUAUGAAUUGGAUUCGAAGUCUAAAUGAAUUAGCAGCAGGGGGAGGCUGGAGAGAAGCCUCUAGAGCAGCUCUGCCUCUCACUCUCCCAGCCCAAGCUCUUAUUAAAGAUAUGAACAAAGGGAUAAGGAAACAGCGCACAAUUGUGUUUAUACUUAUACACUGAAUAAGUUACUGCUGGAACAAGUUUUUCUAGUUAGUAGGGAUCAUGCACACAAGUCAGCAUGUCCUCAGGGAACAGGAUUUAAUUUGGGGAAGAAGUUCUGCUUGCAGAACUUCUAACCUCCUGGAACCUCCUGUGCAGAGUAAGCAGGUGCUCUCAGAGACUCCGGCUCCCUUUAGGGCGGCAGGCACCAGCAUACCUUCAGAGGAUGUUACACUACUUCACAGGAAAACUGCACCCCCCUGAUCACUGCAGCACUAUUUACAGUAGCCAAGCUGUGGAAGGGGUGGUACAUAGAUAAUAGAAUACUACUCAUCAAGAAACAUAAACUCAUGCCAUCUAAGGCAACACGGAUGGAGCUAAUUGAAAUAAGCCUAAUGGAGAAAGACAAAUGUAUCACUUAGAUGUGGAUAUACAGAAAUUAAACAAAGGGCUAGAUUAAGCCAAACUUAAAAGCUAUCCCUUGAGUCUCCCAGGUGGUGCCUGACUGCUGACUGGGUCUGCAGACCAGCCAGGCUUCUUGGCCCACCAGUGCUGGGUGGACUGACCCUCUGUAGUUUGGCAUCAAACUCAUUUGACGACAAAGCCUGACUCCCGCUGACUAAGUCCCCGAUAGUGUUUUGUUGCACCUGUACCACCACUGGGUCCCCAGCCUCUGCUGUUUGCUGGGUCUGAGAUGGAUCUUGUACCUGAUGCUGCAGGGUAUUCUUUUUUUUUUGUUUUUUUAAGAUUUAUUUUUUUAUUUAUUUAUGCAUAUCAGAACUGGGGUGUAGGCCAGAGGUGCAGAGGGUGAGAGGAUUCACCAGAGACAGUGUGGGGAGCCAAACAGGCCAAUUCACUGAAACCACUGCUGAGGGGAGCGGUGGGUGAGACAGACGAGGUCUGCUGCGCCAUGUGGGUAGCUCCCUGGCAGGGGGUCAAACUCAGUUCCACACAGUGAUAACACUGAUACUUAACCCUGAUGCCAUCAGAGAGGCCUUGUUUUUAAUUUAUUUUUUACAUCUUUGAUAUUAUUUAAAAUAAUAGAAGGGGACCAGUUUGUGCUCCUGCUUCUCUGCUUUCAUAAUAUACACACUCCAUCCUGCCAGCACAGGGCUCAGGUUGGGUUUACACGUGUGUUUGUCACGUUUGCUCAGUGUCCAUCUCUCCUGACAGUGCAAGCUCCACAUCUCCAGGGUCCUCUGUCUGCUCUCCAUUGUAUCUGCAGGGGAGGCAGCUUGGGGAGGCAGGAGCCAGCCAGGGAGAGGGAUGCUGGGAAGUGAUGAAGAGAACACUUGGGAGAUGCUCCCUGGUUCCCUCAGAAAAGCAUUUCUCAAAGUGUGGUUGUGGAAUCAUUGAAGUCACCCAGAACUUGUCACAAGGUCCAUGAGGUUAAAACUAUUUUCAAAAUGUCACUUAGACACCAUUUGUCUUUUCACUAUUCUGACAUCUGCUGAGGUAAAACUUAGUAAAAAUGGAGCUUAUAGUACUAACUGCAGUAGUAGUUAAUAUUCACCACUUCUUACCUCAGAAGCACAAUUCCAAGCCAGUUUCAUUUCAAAGUGUCUUGGCUGAAACACUGAAAAUUAUCUUCAUUAUUUUAUAAUCCUCAAAUCCACAUUUUACAGCACCUGAUAUGAUGACAUGCAAGUGCACAUGCACACAGAGCACUUCUGCUGCGUUCCCAACUACCACGUGCCAAGGAACAUAUUUGCAUGAGAUGAAUUAGACUGUUUUUCUUUUUUCGUAGGCAAUACCACCUUCACAUGAACGAAUGAAUGACAAAAACUGUGGCUAUUUGAUUUGGUUAAUGAGCAGACAUUGUCCUGAAAAUGAGUGUGUGCUCCUUUAAGAAAAUCAACUGACAAUUGAUAACUGACAGUAACUUUGCCUUGACAAAAUGAGGACAAGGAGGAAGCUACACUCAGGCUGCAACAGCCACAGUCCCAGUGCUCUGAAGUGUAUCUCAGACCUUAAAGGGUAUUAGACAGCCUUCCGUGGGCCUGAGUGUUACAGGAUUUCUUUUCGCCCAUAUUGUGUGGCUUUAUGAUCCCCUGGUUUAAACCUUCACACCUGCAAGAAUGGCCCAUAUCCAAAAGACCAGAAACAACAAGUGCUGGCAAGGAUGAAAAAAGGGGACAGUCGUGCACUGUUUUUGGAUAAAGACGGAGCCAGCCCUUAUGGAAACAGUACGGAGGUUUCUUAAAGAGUGAAUGUGGUUCUGCCAUUGGACCCAGCAAUUCUACACUGAGGAUCUACUCACAGAGGAUAAAUACUCUCCUGUGAAGGGACCUGCACUCCUGUCACCACUGCAGCACUAUUUACAGUAGCCAAGCUAUGGACACCACCUGAAUGCCCCAGACAGCCGCCCUCUCUGUAGUGUCUCUACUCAGCAGUGUUUGAGCAGCCCCAGGAGUCCCUGCACCUCCUGCCUCUGACCUUGAGGGAAACCAGCCCCUCAGCCUGCUUGACAGUGAGGAGGUAAAGGCAAAGUCCUGAGGGGCAGGACCAAUGUGCUAUCCAUAGAAAAGAGAGGUUCCAGGUUACCGCCCUGCCCAAGGAAAGGUGGGGCUGAGCAGGGACGAGAAGCUAAGGAAGAGGAGGAAGACGUGGAGUGAGAUGAGGAAAGGACUGGAGGAGGCGCAUGGAGCAGAGAGACAGGUGAAGAAGAAACCACACUUGCUUCUCACUUGGACUUGUGCCAGGGAGCUGGGGACUUGGAAAGAGACACGUGAAAGACAAAAACGUGAAUGAGAGACCCAUCGGGAGGCUGACCCUUUCCCAUGGGUCUCUACCAGUAGGUGCCUUAGCCUUGUGGCAGGCCUUCGGGCCCCAGUGGGCCUGCUUUGGGCCAAGCCUGUUUGGCUGGGCAUUUACCCAUGAGGGGACGGGUAACUUUGGGUGCUUCACUUGGGAAAUAUUCGAACUAUAUUCUUUCUCUUCUCUCUCUCUACUGCACUGAUUCUCUAUUUUAUAGUAAUUAUAUUAAAGUUCUUUUCCAUUGAAGGUCUUAUGCUUUAGAGUAUGUUUUGUCUUUAUGCAGCUGUUGGCAGAUCCCAUAUAGAGUGUGCGGUUUUGAGGGUCCAGGGAACCCCUCAUUCUGCCCACUAACAGGAUCAGACAUCAUUCCCACCCACCAUGUGCCAGAGUUCCUUUUCUUCCACACCCUUCAAUGGGCCAUUCUCACAGUGUGAGGUGGUAAGUCAUUAUGGUUUCAAUUGGCAUUUUCCUGACCGCACAUGACCAGCAUUUAUCCAUGUACCUAUUGGCCACAUGUGUGUCUUCUUUAGAAAAAGUACCUAUUUAGCUCCUCUGCCCGUUUUGAGUUGUUUCUUGUUUUGGAGUUCUUUGUAGAUUUUGGAUAUUAACUCCUUGUUGGAUUGAUGAUGUGCAAAUAGUUUCUCCGAUUUGAUAUUGUCUUGUCAUUUUAAUGCUAGUUUCCUUCACUAUGUGGAAGCUUUUUAGUCUGAUGUGAUUCUAUUGGUUUCUUUUUGCUUUUGCUUCCUUGGAGCACAGAAGGCAUUAUGGGCAGUGAAAAUACUCUGCAUGAUAUUCUCAUGGUGGACACAGGUCAUUAUACAUUUGUCCAACACCCUGAGAAUGGACAACACCAGAGUGAACCCUGAGAGAAAUCAUGACUUUGUGACUGUGACAUGCAGGUCCAUCACUUGUAAUUGACCUGUCAGUCUGGUCUUAACAUGUGAUUUAGACAUGAUGUAUGAAGAGUUUUAUAAAUUGAGGAAUAAAGUGUAAUUU